rnacentral:lncRNA from 12 species
ACACACUACUCAGUGCUUAGUAUCAAUAUUUAUAAAGCAAAAAGUGUGAGAAACUCUUUGACAAACUCAUGUUUAUCUAAUAGCUUUUUUAGAGACUUUGGUACAACUCUAUCAGAUAAAACAUGUAACACCUAACAAAAUUAAAAUUAUGCAGCAGUUUGGGUUUCAGAGACAGAAACUGCUGAGUCACAGUGCAGAUGACCAAUGACAUCUUGCUGUAAAUCUUUUUUUCUUGAAAAAGUAAGUGAGUGGAAUGCUAAUUAGCAUACACUGAGUGGUAGUGAGUCACUACCAUGUCAGUUAAAAACCUUUUCUUUACCUUGGUCCACACCUACCUAAUAUUCAGGUUGACAUAGGCAUGAGCACAUAACUAUGAGAUAGUUCUGGCAGAACUAUCUGCGGCCCCAGCCUGCUUGGAGAUGCCUAGAGCUUUUGCAACAAAAGCAAAUACGCUUUUCUGUGAUGGAGAGUAGUGGGGAACACAGAGGGGCCCCAGGAAGAAGCACACAUCUUGCUCAAGAAGGAAUUCAGAGAAACAAAAUUGGGAGAGACCAAGAGUGUGAAUACUAGACUUAAACACACAAAAACAAAACCACUGCGUAAGAAGAAAAACUGGGAAGAAAAUACAGGGGAUGCUUCACAUCUACUUGGCUUUUUUUUUUCUCUCAUGUGCUAUCUAUGCUGA